UACAGAGGUGGCAAGCGUUGUUCGGAAUUACUGGGCGUAAAGGGCGCGUAGGUGGCUGCGUAAGUCGAAUGUGAAAGCUCUGGGCUCAACCCAGAAAGUGCAUUUGAUACUGCGCAGCUUGAGUCCCGGAGAGGGUGGUGGAAUUCCCAGUGUAGAGGUGAAAUUCGUAGAUAUUGGGAGGAACACCGGUGGCGAAGGCGACCACCUGGACGGAGACUGACACUGAGGCGCGAAAGCGUGGGGAGCAAACAGG
rnacentral:rRNA from 1 species